AUGAACGCUGGCGGCGUGCCUAAUACAUGCACGUCGAGCGAACAGAUCAGGAGCUUGCUCCUUUGAAGUUAGCGGCGGACGGGUGAGUAACACGUGGGUAACCUACCUAUAAGACUGGGAUAACUUUGGGAAACCGGAGCUAAUACCGGAUAACAUUUAGAACCGCAUGGUUCUAAAGUGAAAGAUGGUUUUGCUAUCACUUAUAGAUGGACCCGCGCCGUAUUAGCUAGUUGGUAAGGUAACGGCUUACCAAGGCGACGAUACGUAGCCGACCUGAGAGGGUGAUCGGCCACACUGGAACUGAGACACGGUCCAGACUCCUACGGGAGGCAGCAGUAGGGAAUCUUCCGCAAUGGGCGAAAGCCUGACGGAGCAACGCCGCGUGAGUGAUGAAGGGUUUCGGCUCGUAAAACUCUGUUAUUAGGGAAGAACAAAUGUGUAAGUAACUGUGCACAUCUUGACGGUACCUAAUCAGAAAGCCACGGCUAACUACGU
rnacentral:rRNA from 1 species